rnacentral:rRNA from 1 species
AUGCUACUUCACGAGAUGCUCAACACAAGGAACAAAAAUAGGAGAUCUUCAGAGAUGCGCUCAAUGAUAAUGCCUGGACGCAUGAUGUGCAAGGGGAGCUCUCUUUCUUGGGCCACAUGCAAGUCUACUCGCUAUGCCAAGCCAUCAACACCGUUGAGAGGAAUUCGGAGGAGCCUGACCAAUUCAUUUGGCCUUGUCACGCUUCAGGAAGUUACAAUGCAAGUGCCACAUACAAGUGGCUUUGCAUGGGGCAAGUCAAAAAACCCACCACAGGCUGCAUUUGGCGAAGUUGGGCAUCGCUCAAGUGCAAAAUCUUCAUGUGGCUUGCUAGCCAAUACCGUCUUUGGACUUCUGACCGUUGAGCUCGACAUGGUCUCCAAGACACGCCUUCGGCCUGCUACACGUGCCUGCAAGACGAGGACAAUCCCGACCACAUCCUUGCACAUUGUGGUUAUGCGAGAGAAGUGUGGCACUUGUGCUUCAACGAAUGGAGGCUCAACAUUCAAAUCCCAUCUACAGAUGUCACCUUCUUGCAAUGGUGGCUAG